rnacentral:misc_RNA from 1 species
ACUCUGCGGGCCCUCGCUUUCAUUGGACGCACUGACAUAAAUGCAUACAAGCUAGUUGCAGGUUAGAGCUACUUCUGUGAAGUUGGCCGGUCAAAAUCGAUUUACGAAGCAUUUUUCACUCAAUCAAUGGCCAUGUAUAUACCGUUAAUAGAUUUGCUAUCAAUGUGCCGAACGGCAUUCGACCGACCCGGUAUUGUGCCGAAUCGCAAUUUGUCCAAGUGGCCAACCAACGAACGUUGCGUUCACGGAGUGACAAAGUGCCGAAUUGUCGAGCGCCCAACCCGGACACUGGGUAUAAGCUUCGUACUAAAGAGAGCCAGCCCUGGGUAAAUUUUCG